rnacentral:rRNA from 1 species
AUGGUCAGCUAGCUAGGGCGAUGGUGAAUCUGCUGAAGAAUCAUUAUUUGAUGCAAGAGCAAAGGGGGAUACGAGGGGGAGAUAGUCGCUGGCAAGUUCUUGCUUGCAUGUGCACGUUCCUUCGUCUACCUCUUUUGUUCAUACACUUUAUUCACACCUGUGCACUUGUUGUAGGUCGCUCGCAAGAGUUGAUCUAUGUUUUAUCUACACUCUAUUAUCGUAUGUCCAUAGAAUGUCUCAAAGACGCCGACCUCCGGGUCGUGGCUCUUUAUGAAUUUAUACAACUUUCAGCAACGGAUCUCUUGAGCUCUCGCAUCUAUGAAGAACGCAGCGAAUUGCGAUAAGUAAUGUGAAUUGCUGAUUUUUAGUGAAUCAUCGAAUCUUUGAACGCACCUUGCGCUCCUUGGUAUUCCGAGGACCAUGCCUGUUUGAGUGUCAUUGGUAUUCUCAACCGUGUCUUGCAUCUUGCUUGAUUCACGGCUUGGAUUGUGCAGGUUGCUGGCGGCGAAACACUGUCGGCUCUUCUGAAAUAUAUUAGCAAAGGACGAGCGAGUCUUGCCGUGCCCGGCCUUCGACGUGAUAAUGAUCGUUGUUCGCUGGAGCGUCAGACAUGCAUUGAUCGUUCCAUGCUUCGAAUAAAAUCUGUGCUUAGCUACUAGUCUGUCAUUGGACGAACGCGGCACUACUCACUCGAUACUAGAUCUCACAUCAUGUAGGACAAACUUCUGAACAUGAUAUGGCCCAGUACGAU